AUGAGAUUAAAAUUAUUAAAUAUAAUUUUAUCAAUAAUAAAUAAACUUAAUAAUAAUAAUAAUAUUAUUAUUAAUAAUCUAUUAGAUUCAUUAAUAAAUAAGAAAUUAUUAUUAAAGAAUAUAUUAUUAGAUAUAAAUAAUAAAAAAAUAAAUAAUAUAAAAAGAAUAUUAAAUAAUAAUAAUAUAAACCCCGCGGGCGCCAAUCCGGUUGUUCACCGGAUUGGUCCCGCGGGGAAUAUUAAUAAUAAAUUACAACAUUUAAAUAAUAUAAAUAAUUGAAAUCUACAAAUUUAUAAUUAUAAUAAAAAUAUAGAAAUUAUAAAUACUAUAAAUGAUAAAUUAAUUAAUAAAUUAUUAUAUAAAAUAAUAACUUUAAAAUUAAAUAAUAUAAAUAUUAAUAAAAUUAUUAUAAGUAAACUUAUUAAUCAACAUAGUUUAAAUAAAUUAAAUAUUAAAUUUUAUUAUUAUAAUAAUGAUAUUAAUAAUAAUAAUAAUAAUAAUAAUAAUAAUUAUUAUAUAAAUAUAAUAAAUAAAUUAAUAAAUAUUAUAAAUAAUAAUAUAAAUAAUAAUUUAUGUAAUAUUUUAAGUUAUUAUUAUAAUAAAAAAGUAACUAUUGAACCUAUUAAAUUAUCAUAUAUUUAUUUAAAUAGUGAUAUUUUUAGUAAAUAUAUUAGUUUAAAUGAUAUAGAUAAAUAUAAUAAUGGUAUCUUAACUAAUUAUCAACGUAUAUUAAAUAAUAUUAUGCCUAAAUUAAAUGAUCAUAAUAUUUCUAUAAAUUAUAUUAAUAAUAUUAAUAAUAUUAAUAAUAAUAAAUAUAAUAAUAUAAUUAAUUUAUUAAAUAAUAAUAAUAAUAUUAAUAAUAAUAAUAAUUAUAAUAAUAAUAAUAAUAAUUAUAUUGGUAAUAUUAAUAAUAUUUAUAAUAAUAUAACUAUUGAUAAUAUUCCUAUAGAUAUUUUAAUAUAUAAAUAUUUAGUUGGUUGAUCUAUUAAAUUUAAAGGUAGAUUAAGUAAUAAUAAUGGUAGAACUAGUACACUUAAUUUAUUAAAUGGUACUUUUAAUAAUAAAAAAUAUUUAUGAAGUAAUAUUAAUAAUAAUUAUAAAUUAAAUUAUAUCCCUUCUAAUCAUAAUUUAUAUAAUAAUUCUAAUAUUAAUAAAAAUGGUAAAUAUAAUAUUAAAGUUAAAUUAAACUUUAUUUAA
rnacentral:rRNA from 1 species